rnacentral:rRNA from 1 species
UACAGAGGGGGCAAGCGUUGUUCGGAAUUACUGGGCGUAAAGGGCGCGUAGGCGGCCUGUUAAGUCGAACGUGAAAUCCCCGGGCUCAACCCGGGAACUGCGUCCGAUACUGGCAGGCUUGAAUCCGGGAGAGGGAUGCGGAAUUCCAGGUGUAGCGGUGAAAUGCGUAGAUAUCAGGAGGAACACCGAUGGCGAAGGCAGGUCACUGGGCCGCAACUGACGCUGAGGAGCGAAAGCAUGGGGAGCGAACAGG